AGCUGAACUUUAAAAAAAAAACUGGCUGAGUCUUCACCAUGCAUCCAGCUGCAGCUGAUUCAGUCAAAAACGGUUAAUGACAAAAAUAACCCUGCUACACAUAACCCUAAAAUUUUUGAGUUUUCACUCUCAUCUCUCACGUACUCUCUCUUGGCGGCGAACUCUCUGAUCUCCUCCGACCUCUCUCCGGCGAACUCUGAUCUCUCUCAUGGCGACCUCUCCGAUCUCUCUCUCCGGUGACCUCUCCGAUCUCUCUCUCCGGUGACCUCUCUCUCCGGUGACCUCUCUCUCCAGCUAUCUCUCUCAGACGCUCUCUCUCUCUCUCUCUCUCCGGCUCUCUCUUUCUCAGUCUCUCUCUCCGGCUCUCUCUCUCUCUGGGUCUCUCUUCGGCUCUCUCUCUCUCUCUCCAGCUCUCUCUCUCUCUCUCAGACGCUCUCUCUCUCCGGUGACCUCUCUCUCUCUCAGGCGCUUUCUCUCUCUCUCAGGCUCUCUCUCUCAGGCUCCGACGACCUCUCUCUCUCAGUCUCUCUCUACGGCUCUCUCUCUCUCUCUCAGGCGUGCUCUCUCUCCAGCUCUCUCUCUCUCUCUCUCUCUCUCAGGCACUCUCUCUCUCCGGCAACCUCUCUAUCAGGCUCUCUCUCUCUCAGGUAAGAGUUUCUAGGAUCUCUGUAAUCUAUAUCCUAUAAGUUAUGUUGUGGGUUUUGUUUGCAUCUGUAGAUUGUUCAUAAAUUGUUCUUCUUUGGUUGCAUCUCUCUCUCAGGCGUGCUCUCUCUCCAGCUCUCUCUCUCUCUCUCUCAUACGCUCUCUCUCUCUCUGGCAACCUCUCUUUCAGGCUCUCUCUCUCUCAGGUAAGAGUUUCUAGGAUCUCUGUAAUCUAUAUCCUAUAAGUUAUGUUGUGGGUUUUGUUUGCAUCUGUAGAUUGUUCAUAAAUUGUUCUUCUUUGGUUGCAUC
rnacentral:lncRNA from 1 species